UACGAAGGGUGCAAGCGUUACUCGGAAUUACUGGGCGUAAAGCGUGCGUAGGCGGUUUGUUAAGUCCGCUGUGAAAGCCCCGGGCUCAACCUGGGAAUUGCGAUGAAGACUGCAAGGCUUGAAUCUGGCAGAGGGGGGUAGAAUUCCACGUGUAGCAGUGAAAUGCGUAGAGAUGUGGAGGAACACCGAUGGCGAAGGCAGCCCCCUGGGUCAAGAUUGACGCUCAUGCACGAAAGCGUGGGGAGCAAACAGG
rnacentral:rRNA from 1 species